rnacentral:rRNA from 1 species
AGUGAACGCUGGCGGUAGGCCUAACACAUGCAAGUCGAACGGCAGCACAGUAAGAGCUUGCUCUUACGGGUGGCGAGUGGCGGACGGGUGAGGAAUACAUCGGAAUCUACUUUUUCGUGGGGGAUAACGUAGGGAAACUUACGCUAAUACCGCAUACGACCUACGGGUGAAAGCAGGGGAUCUUCGGACCUUGCGCGAUUGAAUGAGCCGAUGUCGGAUUAGCUAGUUGGCGGGGUAAAGGCCCACCAAGGCGACGAUCCGUAGCUGGUCUGAGAGGAGGAUCAGCCACACUGGAACUGAGACACGGUCCAGACUCCUACGGGAGGCAGCAGUGGGGAAUAUUGGACAAUGGGCGCAAGCCUGAUCCAGCCAUACCGCGUGGGUGAGGAAGGCCUUCGGGUUGUAAAGCCCUUUUGUUGGGAAAGAAAAGCAGCAGGUUAAUACCCCGCUGUUCUGACGGUACCCAAAGAAUAAGCACCGGCUAACUUCGUG